CACAGAGGGCAGCCCCGCCUCUCUGAAUGUGGGGCUUAGGAGAGACUGCACGGGAAACCCUUCACUCUAUAAUCAUGGAGUGUUUGACCUUGAAGAGAUGGGGCAUCCACAGAUGUUACCUGGGUUUUGUAAAGACCCGAAACUCUUCCAGAAUAAUAUGGAGAUUUACUCAAAUUCUGGAGGCUUAUUUUUCCAAAUGAAUUCAUCUGGGACUGAAACGUCUCUUCUCCUCCAUCACUCCCUCUCCAUCUCCAAGGCUAAAUUCAAGCACUGGUCAUCAACAGCGACAUCAUAAGAACUCAGGAGUUGACCACCAUAGAAAACCAAGACUCUGAAGACAGCCAUUGCAGUUUGUCAAUUAAGAAGAACACAGAAGAUGGAGUCUGAACCCUGUGCCUGGGCUUUGCACAACCCAUCCCAAUAGCUGGGUCAACUUAACUAAGCCAUCUGACUCACCAAAAGCCAUCUGACUCACCUCCUGCAAAACCACAAUAUGGUUCAAGAAUUAGUCCUACCUCCAUUUACAAUAAACCACUCCUUUUUUUUUUUUUUUUGACAGAGUCUCACUCUGUCGCCCAGGCUAGAAUGCUGCUUCAGCCUCAACCUCCCAGGUUCAACAUCUCAGCCUCCUGAGGAGCUGGGACUACAGGCAUGUGCAACCAUGCCCAGGUAAUUUUUGUAAUUUUUGUAGAGACAGGGUUUCACCACGUUACUCAGGCUGGUCUCAAACUCCUGGGCUCAAGCCAUCAGCCCACCCUCACCUCCCAAAGUGCUAGGAUUACAGGCAUGAGCCACCGCACCCAGCCCACUCCCUACUCUUACCCUACUUCUUACUCUGUAGUUUUGGGAGACACACACACAACACGCUCAAUUCAUGGAUUCACGUCUUUGAAUCAUAAAACAACAGGCAGUAAAGUAUAGUAGCUAAAGGAGUGCCGGGAACACAGCCUGGGUUUGAACUCCGUCUCUGUCAUCUGCUAACUGUUGUCCUUGAGCAAGUUACUUAACUUCUCUGUGCCUCCGUCUCAUCGCCUAUAAAAGGAAAACAAUACUAUACUACCUAUAAGACUGUUGUGAAAAUUAAAUUAUAUAAUAUCAGUAUAACACUUGACAUAUGGAAAGUACCAAAAAUGCGUUAACUAGGCUGGACACUGUGACUCACACCUCUCUCUACUCCCAGCGCUUUGAGAGGUCGAGACAGGAGGAUUACUUGAGGCCCAGAGUUCAAGACCAGCCUGGACAGCAUAAUGAGACCCUGUCUCUAUAAAAAAUAAAAAUUAACCAGGCAUGGUGGCAUGUACCUGUAGUAUCAGCUACUUGGGAUGCUGAGGUGGGAGGAUUGCUUGAGCCCAGGAGUUGGAGGCUGUAGUGAGCUAUGAUCAUGCCAUUGCACUCUAGCCUGAGCAACAGAGUCUUAUACAGCCUGUCUCCAAAAAAAAAGAAAAUAAAUAAUUUUUAAAAUGUUAACUACUAUCACAUCUUUUAGAAUUUGAGAAACAAAAAGCACAAAAACUAAAACUGCACAUGAUACGUGAUUGCAGACCGAGGUGGUUCAUCUCUUCUUUAGUUAAAUUAAAGGCUUUUGGCUGGAUGUGGUGGUUCACACCUGUGAACCCCCCAGCACUUUGGGAGACCAAGGUGGGAGGAUUGCUUGAGCCCAGGAAUUUGAGACGAGCCUGAGCAACAUAGACAGACUCCCAACUCUACAAAAAUUUUAAAAGUUAGCCAGGCACAAUGGAGCAUGUCUGUGGUUCCAGCUACUUGGGAGGCUGAGGUGGGAGGAUCACUUGGGUCUGGGAGGUCGAGGCUGCAGUGAGCCAUGAUCAUGGCACUGCACUCCAGCCUGGGUGACAAAGGAAGACUGUCUCAAAAAAAAGGAACAGACCAAGUUAAAGGCUUUUCUUUUGUGCCAUUUUUCUGGCCUUGUGUAUGCCUUAGUUUUCAGCAGAGUAAAAUAUCUGUAUUAUUAUUAUGACCUUGAUUUUUAAGAUGACUUCAUCUUCAUUUCAUAUUGAUUUUAUUCAGUAAUAAUUGUAAGAAAGACUUUAGUUUUAAUGUUUCUUUCCCCUUAUCUUCUCCAUCAAGUAUGUGGAAAAAGACAAAUUCAAAGGCUAGAAAUGAAACUUUGAACUUCUACAGGAGAAGUCAGGCAACAUGGCUAAAGACCUUUGCUAAAUGACAAAGCAGGAUAAAAAAUAAGUCUAGUCCUUCUUACAUUAUUCCAAUACAUUUAUUAAAGGCAUCCUUAAAGGUAUGUAAGGAAUUAUAAAUGAAUGCAUGCUUCUCCCACACACAAAUUUCGUUAAUGACACACGUAUGAAACCGUACAUAAAUACGUGUGUACUGCUGACUGAGCGAGAUACCUAGCUAACUCUGAACACUCCCACAAAGCACCUCACAGUAAUCCCUGGUCGACUUUAUCAACCACACUGCUUAGAGACAGGACUGAACCCAUAGGCCUUCCCCUCCAGUAGGUCAGAACAAGUCUGCCGGUAACUGCAGCAUCUGUGUCUGCAGGAAUACCUCUUCCCUCUUUGGCUUAACUCCAGACCACGCGGUAGGAGCCAAGGAAGGGGACAUGCCCUAGCCUUGUACAUAGCUGUGCAGAUGGCCUGAGGACUUGAGGCUCAACUUUUCUGUCCAAUACAAGGACCCUGUUUCAAAUGGCAAAUCUGGCUGUCCCACCUAGGAUCUGUACCUUUUCUCAAGCCUUAGCUCCCCCUAAAUUACCAAGGAGUCUCAGACGAGUUGUUGAGGUUUUAACCAUUCAUUUAUUAAACAAGUCUUCACAGAGAGCUUACUAGGUUCCAGGCACUAGGUAUACUCUGCCGACCAAAACCAAACCAGGUCAGAGAAGAGAGACAUCAGGACUAUGCAGAGACAGCCCUGGGUAAAAUCAGGAAAAGCAAAAAAAACUUAGUUACCAUUAUUCAGCCCUCCCCAUGCCCCCACCUUCCUGUGGAUUGUGAAGAGCUCCCUCAAGCUUCUCUUUGCUCUUUGUUUCUUUCCUCUUCAGAACCUGAUUCCUGGGAAAAUAACUUAAUUGUUUAUUCAUUUACUCAACAAACACAUGUUGAGCACCUACUGCAUAUCAGAUACUGCAGUAGGUGAAAUAUCAGUCCCUUUAUAACUUCUCUUGGGGGUAUUUGCAUCUCAACUCUAUUUUAUUUUUUUCUAAUUCUUUUUAAAUUGAACUAGAAUUCAAUUUAUGCUUAACCCUUAAAUUUUACCAUAACAUAACAUUUACCCUUUUAAAGUGUAACAUUCAAUGGUUUUCACUGUAUUCACAAAGUUGUACAACCAUCCCCACUAUCUAAUUCUAGAAUAUUUUCGUCACUUCAAAAAAGAAGCCCUGUACCAUUAGCAGGGAUUUCCCAACUCCUGCUUCCCACAACCGCUGAAAACCAAGUAUUUACUCUGUCUCUAUGAAUUUACCUGUUCUGACCAUUUCAGAUAAGCGGAAUCGUAUAAUAUGUGACCUUUCGCGUCUGGCUUCCUUCAUUAGCACAUUUUCAAGGUUACCUAUGUUGUAGCAUGUAUCAGUACUUCAUCCUAUGUCAUGGCUGAAUAAUGUUUCAUUAUAUGGUUAUACUACAUUUUCUUUAUCCAUUCAUUAAUUUACAAACAUUUGGGUUUGUUUCACUUUGUGGCUAUUAUGAAUAAUGCUGCUAGGAACAUUUAUGUACACAUUUUUAUGUAGUCACUUGUCUUCAAUUAUCUUUGGUACAUACCUUGGAGUGGAAUUGCAGGUCAUAUGGUAACUGUAUAUUUCCCUUUUUAAGGAACUGCCAAGCUGUUCUCCAAAGUGACUGUACCUGUUUGCACCCCCACCAGGAAGAUAUGAGGGUUCCCAUUUCUCUACACCCUCAGUCACACUUAUGAUUGUCUGACUUUUUAGCUAUCCAAGUGGAACGAAGUGAUGUCUCACUGUGGCUUUGAUUUGCAUUUCCCUAAUAACUAAGGAUGUUGUGCAUCUUUUUUGUGCUUAUUGGCUAUUUGUGUGUCCAAUUUGAGUAAUGUCUAUUCAAAUCCUUUGCUCAUUUUUAAUUGAGCUACUUGCCUUUUUAUUAUUAAGUUGUAAGAGUUCUUUUUUUAUAUUUUGGAUACUAGAUCCUUAUCCAAUGUAAGAUUUGCAAAUAUAUGUUCCCAUUCUGUGGGCUCUCUUUUCACUUUUUUGAUAAUGUCUUUUGAAACAUGAAAGGUUGUAUUUUGAUGAGGUCCAAUUUUUGUCUUUACUUGCUUACGCUUUUGGUGCCAUAUCUAAGGAACAAUUGUCUAAUACAAGGUCACAAAAAUGCCUAUGUUUUCUCUAAGAAUUUUAUCAUUUUUGCUCUUACAUCUAGGCCUGUGAUCCCUUUUGAGUUAAUUUUUGUAUAAAGUAUAAGUUAUGGGUCCAAAUUCAUUCUUUCACGUGUGGAUAUCAGGUUGCCUCAGCACCAUUUGUUGAAAAGACUAUUCAUUCCCCAUUGAUUGUCUUAGCAUCCUUAUUGAAAAUCAACUGACCAUAAAUGUAAAAGUUUCUUUCUGGACUCUGAAGUCUAUUCCUUUGAUCUACAUAUCUAUUCUUAUGGCAGUAUCACACAGUCUUGAUCAAUGUACCCUUGUAGCAGGUUUUAAAAUUUAGAAGUGUCAAUCCUACACCUUUGUCCUUCUUUUUCCCUUGCAUUUCCAUAUGACUUUUAGGAACAGCUUGUUGAUUUCUGCAAAAGAGGAAAAGAAAAGGCAGCUAGAAUUUUGAUAGGGAUUGCAUUGAAUCUGUAGACCACUUUGGGGGGUAUUGCCGUCUUAGCAAUAUUAGGCUUUCCAAUUCAGGAAUACAAACUGUCUUUCCAUUUAUUUAGAGUAUUGUUUAAUUUCAACUAUUUUUUAUAGUUUUUAAUGUGCAAGACUUAAACUUAUUUUGUUAAAUUUAUUCCUAAGUAUUUUUUUUCUUCUUGUUGCUGUUGCAGAUGUAAUCGUUUUCUUAAUUUCAUUUUGGAUCAUUCAUUGCUAGUGUAUAAAAAUAUAAUGGAUUUUUAUAUUUUGAUCUUGCAUCUGGCAACCUUGCUGAACUCAAUUAUGAGUUUUAAUGGUUUGGGUAGAUACCUUAUGAUUAUCUGUAUACUAGAUCAUGUCAUCUGCAAGUAGAUUUAGUUUUACUUUUUUCUUUUUAGCAUGGAUACCUUUUUAAGUCUUAUUUCUUAUUGUUCAACUGCAACAUUUUACUCCUCUGUGAACUAAUUUCAAGCAUCAAGAAUGUGAGCUCCAUGAGAGCAGGAACUUUAUUUUGUUUCCUGUUCUAGGCCUGGUAUCUAGACUAGUUCCCAGCACAUAGCAAGUGUUCAAUAAAUAUGUGUUGAGUAAAUGAAUACAUGAGACAAGAAGUAGAUGGGAACAGUUCGGAGCUUUUCCCCAUACCCGCAAUCAUACCAGCAAGGUGUGGCUUAUUCUAACCCACUUAUAAUCCCUGCCCAGAGUCGGCAAUUAAUUGGCAC
rnacentral:lncRNA from 1 species